UCGAGAAUCUUCCGCAAUGGGCGCAAGCCUGACGGAGCGAUGCCGCGUGAGGGACGAAGGUCUUCGGAUUGUAAACCUCUGUCACCGUGGAGGAACAGAAUGACUGUACACGGAGAGGAAGUCACGGCUAACUACGUGCCAGCAGCCGCGGUAAUACGUAGGUGACUAGCGUUGUUCGGAUUUAUUGGGCGUAAAGGGUCCGCAGGGGGUCGGCUAAGUCUGAUGUGAAAUCCCGAAGCUUAACUUCGGAACUGCAUUGGAAACUGGCCGGCUAGAGCAUCGGAGAGGAGAGUGGAAUUCCAGGUGUAGCGGUGGAAUGCGUAGAUAUCUGGAAGAACACCAAAGGCGAAGGCAGCUCUCUGGACGAUCGCUGACCCUCAGGGACGAAAGCAUGGGGAGC
rnacentral:rRNA from 1 species